GCUGCUGCUGCUGCUGCUGUUGCUGCUGCUGCUGCUGGAGAGCCACCUGCUGCAGCUGAAGUUGGGCUGCAAACGAAGCCGCGGGAGAGUCUAAGGAAACGGGGACGGCCUCGCGCCCCCCCCCCAACCCCCGGCCAAAUCUCCCCGGCGUCCCCAGGGCCACCUGGAAGACCGGAUCAGAACAGGAGAGGCAGCGGCCACGGCCAAGGGUGCCGGUCACGGACCAGCCCGGGAGCCCGAGCCAGGAGUCGGGAAGGUGACACGGUGGACGAACUGACUGGCCCCCACGGUCGGCAGCGGCUGGAGGGACUGAGGCAGGACCGGCCCUGGACCCCAAGAUGUCCUUUUGUGUCUCCCAUUUGUGACCAUAAAGGAGUUGGACAGCACCGCAACCCGGCUGGUGUCUGGUCCCGGCGACAUCAAGCCGAUCGAGGACGGCAACGUGCUGCUCCACGAGAUGGAGACCCGCAAGCUGGUGUCGGGAGAGUCUUCCGGAGGGGAUACCAACACGUCGGGCGGUGAGUGUCGUGAGAAGCCUUCGACAACGCCACCCUUCCAAGAGCUGCUCUGUGCCGAUCCCCGAGGACUAGGCACCCCCCACCCGGGAAGAAGUCGUGCAGAGGACUGGCAGCGGCCGGGCAAAGUCGGUCUCCACCACGAUCCGACGGGGAGCCUGGAGAAACUGCGACGUCCCACCCACCUGCACCCAGAAACCCUGCACUGCUGGGGGAAGCCUCCCAUUCAAGAACUCUGAAAUGAGGUAAACUGACCCCUACGGCCGAGCUCCGGCCCGGACCCGCUGGCAGGCUGAGCACCAGCUGCCGGGUGACCCUCAAGAAUGGACGUUCACCCUCGGCAACAGCCCCGCGCUCCCCAGGCCGCCGCCUGGCUGGAACCAGAGAAAUGAUACUGAAAUCCCAUCCAGGUGGGUGACUGACGCAGGAGCCCGGGACUGCCAGUUGUAGCACAGGGCCCUGGCCUCCAGGCCUGGGAAAACCCCUCGAUAGGCAGCCGGGGCCUGGGGGAUACCCUCGGUGGUCUCUGCGUGCAACCGGGGGCCUUGGCUUUCCACGACAGAUGCCCGCCCUGCAUCCGCCCUCAGGCUGCAUUUGCCUCAGGCCUGCAGUGUCACAGCCAAUCAACCUGCUGCGCAGACAGCCGUGACUGCUCACCUAACAUCGCCGCCGUUGCCGGUAAAAGAAAAAGACCCACAACGGGAAAAUUUUUUUGUCUGUGGCGACGGUGACCGCAGCAAGAAGGUGGGAUGGGGACGGACUGCCCCCAGGAGUGCCCCGUCUGAGCACAAAAAUACAUCAAGCCAACUGCCGAAAGAGACGCCCAUGCCGGCACGUGCCCUAAAUGCCAGGCAGGCAGCCUGGGGCCUCGGGGCGGAUUAAAAAUGGGAGAGGCGAGCCAUGGCUGUUAGCGGCAGAGUUUCUCCCUAGCCCGGGCCCAAGCGGGCAGGCACAUCAACCUUGCCGCCCCACAGGGCCACCACCAUCACAAAGGGGAAAUCAUUUCUACACCCGAAUGGCCACUCCAGGAUUUCCCUUUCACUGGGGCUGGUUCCAGAUUUUCCGGCUUCCCUCCACCGUGCGGGGGAGUGAGGAACAGUCAGGAGCGGUGAGGCCUUUUCAGUUUUUGUUCUCCCUCUCCAGCCGGAAGGGGUUUUCUGCUCAAAACUGUUGGCUGGGUGACCCCGGCCUCCUGGAGAGGAGGACAGGGCGGGCAGGAGCAGGUAGGAGCCCCACCUCUUCCCACAUACUGGGAUGGGAAGGAGGGACUGCGGUCGAGAGAAGCUAAGCACGUUGCCCGUGUGAGCGGGGAGCUGGGGCCAGAAGGCGAGCCAGGGCCGUCUCUGGAAGUGGCCGCAUGCUGGGCCUCGAGGGAAGGGACCUCCAGUCCACCUCCCCUUGCUUCUCCACCCCGACCUCCAAUCGCUACCGACUUGAACCUCGGAAAGCAAGCAAGCUCUUACCGGCAACUGAAGCUUGAGACUUCUUGUUAUCUAGUGGAAAGAAGAGAUACAAAGAGAUCCUGACACCUCCCGCUUCCACGGCAUCGUCUCCCUUCAGAGCCCCGCUGCCUCGCCCUCUGCCCACGUGCCCGGGACCGGAGGCUGGACAAGGACUACCGUUGAUCCAAACCGGUCUCCCAGCUGGUGCCAAAAAUCCUACGCCCUUCCCGCGGUUGGUUCCCACGUGGCCGGCCCCUAACCGCCAAACCCAGGAGACGUGGUCAGGACUCUUGUUGGGAGUGACGCUUACAAAGGCGGCGGGGUCCGCGGAGGAGACCGGCCGGGGAGGGGAGGUGCCCUCCUCUUUGGCGGGGAGAGAUCGGACGAAUCCCGAAAGGAAGAAACCGGGGGACCCUCGGACCGCGGAUGGUCAAGGCUUCGGCGGACGGGUGCCCGGACGUAAGCGGGGGCUUCGCGAGAGCACAACAGAGUUAGGGAAGCCUGAGAUAAAACCUCAGAGAAACCGUUCGGGGCGGGAUUCGAAAAGCCCCCACCCACAGGAAUCGGUCCUCGUGUCCGAAGAGCAGCGGGCUGGACAAGAGCGGACGGGCCACACCCAAUCCUGUCAGAGCUACUCCCGGCGACUCCGGCGGGUACUUACGGAUGUCUCGGAAAUGGAUGAUGAGCCGGGCCACCAGAGAAAGGUAUUCCUCCUAAAACCAAAAACAGGAAGCAGAUGAGUCCAGAGUGAGGAAGCCAACUUCUCAUGACUCAACAUUUCCCUUCUCCCAGCCCCGCUCCCUCGGCCCGUCGGAGUCAUCCCUUCCGCCGGCCAGGCGGGCCUGGAGUCCCCCGCGGGCCGGUGGUAACAUCCGCCCCAAGUCGGAGCCGGUGGGCUCGGGGUUCUUUCUCCAUCAAAGAGGCGGCCGCCAUCUGACUCAG